GGGACACGUGGUAUCCUGUCUGAAUAUGGGGGGACCAUCCUCCAAGGCUAAAUACUCCUGACUGACCGAUAGUGAACCAGUACCGUGAGGGAAAGGCGAAAAGAACCCCGGCGAGGGGAGUGAAAAAGAACCUGAAACCGUGUACGUACAAGCAGUGGGAGCCCUGAUUUAUCAGGGUGACUGCGUACCUUUUGUAUAAUGGGUCAGCGACUUAUAUUCUGUAGCAAGGUUAACCGAAUAGGGGAGCCGGAGGGAAACCGAGUCUUAACUGGGCGUUAAGUUGCAGGGUAUAGACCCGAAACCCGGUGAUCUAGCCAUGGGCAGGUUGAAGGUUGGGUAACACUAACUGGAGGACCGAACCGACUAAUGUUGAAAAAUUAGCGGAUGACUUGUGGCUGGGGGUGAAAGGCCAAUCAAACCGGGAGAUAGCUGGUUCUCCCCGAAAGCUAUUUAGGUAGCGCCUCGUGAAUUCAUCUCCGGGGGUAGAGCACUGUUUCGGCAAGGGGGUCAUCCCGACUUACCAACCCGAUGCAAACUGCGAAUACCGGAGAAUGUUAUCACGGGAGACACACGGCGGGUGCUAACGUCCGUCGUGAAGAGGGAAACAACCCAGACCGCCAGCUAAGGUCCCAAAGUCAUGGUUAAGUGGGAAACGAUGUGGGAAGGCCCAGACAGCCAGGAUGUUGGCUUAGAAGCAGCCAUCAUUUAAAGAAAGCGUAAUAGCUCACUGGUCGAGUCGGCCUGCGCGGAAGAUGUAACGGGGCUAAACCAUG
rnacentral:rRNA from 1 species